rnacentral:rRNA from 1 species
AGCAGGACAACAGGGAUUGCCUCAGUAACGGCGAGUGAAGCGGCAACAGCUCAAAUUUGAAAUCUGGCUCUUUUAGAGUCCGAGUUGUAAUUUGUAGAAGAUGCUUCGGGUGCGGCCCCAGUCCAAGUUCCUUGGAAGAGGACGUCAUAGAGGGUGAGAAUCCCGUAUGUGACCAGGUGCCCGCGCCCAUGUGAAGCUCUUUCGACGAGUCGAGUUGUUUGGGAAUGCAGCUCUAAAUGGGUGGUAUAUUUCAUCUAAAGCUAAAUAUUGGCCAGAGACCGAUAGCGCACAAGUAGAGUGAUCGAAAGAUGAAAAGCACUUUGGAAAGAGAGUUAAACAGUACGUGAAAUUGUUGAAAGGGAAGCGCUUGCAAUCAGACUUGCGCGCCGUCGAUCAUCCCAGGUUCUCCUGGGUGCACUCGGCGGCGCUCAGGCCAGCAUCGGUUCUGGUGGUGGGAUAAAGGCCUUGGGAAUGUAGCUCCUUUCGGGGAGUGUUAUAGCCCUCGGUGCAAUGCCGCCUACCGGGACCGAGGACCGCGCUUCGGCUAGGAUGCUGGCGUAAUGGUUGUAAGCGACCCGUCUUGAAACACGGACCAAGGAGUCUAACAUCUAUGCGAGUGUUUGGGUGUCAAACCCAUACGCGUAAUGAAAGUGAACGGAGCUAAGAACCCUUUAGGGUGCAUUAGCGACCGAUCCUGAUGUCUUCGGACGGAUUUGAGUACGAGCAUAGCUGUUGAGACCCGAAAGAUGGUGAACUAUGCCUGAAUAGGGUGAAGCCAGAGGAAACUCUGGUGGAGGCUCGCAGCGGUUCUGACGUGCAAAUCGAUCGUCAAAUUUGGGCAU